CCGCGGCUCCGACCCCGGAUUCGCGGCGUCGCUGUCAAAGUGUCCGAACUGCGUGUCGUCCACGUAGCCGCCGGCGAUGACGCGGGGCUCCCCAACGCCGGGCCGGGACACGGCGAGGCCGUUUCCCUCCUGACCACACACUCACCCGCCCGGGUCUGGGUCAGGGGCAGGGUCCCGGAGAGCAACAAGAGGAGGAUCUGGGAAGCCAUUAGCAUGAUCACUGGAGUCUGGGGAGACUGAGUUCCAGUGGGUCCGUGCGCCCCUUAUAACCGGGAACCGAGGAGACACUGA